rnacentral:rRNA from 1 species
UACGUAGGGCGCAAGCGUUAUCCGGAAUUAUUGGGCGUAAAGAGCUCGUAGGCGGUUUGUCGCGUCUGCCGUGAAAGUCCGGGGCUCAACUCCGGAUCUGCGGUGGGUACGGGCAGACUAGAGUGAUGUAGGGGAGACUGGAAUUCCUGGUGUAGCGGUGGAAUGCGCAGAGUAUCAGGAGGAACACCGGUGGCGAAGGCGGUUCUCUGGGCAUGACCUGACGCUGAGGAGCGAAAGCAUGGGGAGCGAACAGG